rnacentral:rRNA from 1 species
CCUACGGGUGGCAGCAGUGAGGAAUGUUGGUCAAUGGGCGCGAGCCUGAACCAGCCAAGCCGCGUGAAGGAUGACUGUCCUACGGGUUGUAAACUUCUUUUAUAAAGGAAUAAAGUGAGGCACGUGUGCCUUUUUGUAUGUACUUUAUGUAUAAGGAUCGGCUAACUCCGUGCCAGCAGCCGCGGUAAUACGGAGGAUCCGAGCGUUAUCCGGAUUUAUUGGGUUUAAAGGGAGCGUAGAUGGGUUGUUAAGUCAGUUGUGAAAGUUUGCGGCUCAACCGUAAAAUUGCAAUUGAUACUGGCAGACUUGAGUACAGUAGAGGUAGGCGGAAUUCGUGGUGUAGCGGUGAAAUGCUUAGAUAUCACGAAGAACUGCGAUUGCGAAGGCAGCUGACUAAACUGCCACUGACAUUGAGGCUCGAAAGUGUGGGUAUCAAACAGGAUUAGAUACCCGGGUAGUC